AUGCUGCCACGUGCAGCUCCGAGUGGAAGCUCUGCUGGCCCUCGGCGUCCCCAGCCUGCGGAGGGAAGGCUCCGGGGCUCAGCACCUGAGCUGGCAGGAUGCGGGCAGGAGCCCUGUCCUGCUGAGCAGGGGGAGCUGCUGCCCCCCCAGGUACCCACCGACCACUCGUUCGCCGUCCCCUCCAGCCCGGCUUUCUCGGUGCCGUGCGAGCCACCCGGCGCUGGGAGCUGCGGGGGGGAGGGAGGAGAGGGGUCGGUGGGGGCACGGGGAGCAGGAGGCACCCCCUUGGUGCUCGCCCCCCGCUCCGCCGAGCCGUCCCCUCUCCUCUCCCUUAGCCUCAGCGUAGGCACUGAGCGUGGCCGCUCCGCUGGAGCCCUGCAAGGGAGGGAUUCCCCGCAAAGGCUGCGAGAGCCCGGGGCCACCAUCCUGCCCGGAGCUGGGCUCCCACCUUCCUGUAGCCGCUGGGGUGCUCGAAGACGAAGCGCUGCAUCCGCCUCUGCCGCUGCUGGAAGAGCUGGGAGCCGCGGUUGGUGCUCAGGGAGAGCUCCUCCAGCAUCACGUCCUGCGGCGUGCUCACCUUCUUGCCCAGGUCCAGCCGGGGCGCUGGGGACACCAGGGGAGAGGAUGGGACGGCUGCUGGGGGGCCCCUCGCACGGUCUGGUGGCAGUCCCUGUGCCCCCCCACCACCACCAGCACCGCUUACCAUCUCCAGGGUCUGGUUUCAUGAUGGUCAUCGCCUGCUGCCACGCUCCUGGGGCAGGGCUACGAGGUGGGGACGGCUCCUGGCCGGCUGCAAGAGAGAGAUGGCCGUGGGUGAUGGCUGGGAACGGGGACACGCCAGUCCCCGGUGUGCCACAGGGGCUGCCAGGCUGUCCCCACCCGGCAGCAGUGCCUGGGGUCACCUCUCUUCCCUGCCGCGGGUGCUUGGGGGCUCCCCGCAGCAGCCCCUGGGGAUGUGCAGGGCCCAGGGGUGCCCCCAUUAACCCGUGGGUGAGAGCAGAGUCGUGUCUGUGCGCACAGCGCCUUGGGGUGCUCGCGCUCCGUGUCCCCCAGCCCAUCUCUGCUGUUGUCACCCUCUCAUCUCACCCCCACCAGAGCCCCUCGGGACGCUCAGCACCACCCCGUGCCCGUCAUCUUCCCUCUUUGCCGUUCUUUAGGGCAGAAAACGCCCCCAGCAUCGUCCCUGCCUGCAGCGAGCGGUGUCCCCGGGGCUGA
rnacentral:lncRNA from 1 species